UCCCUGGUGGCUCAGGCGGUAAAGAAUCUGCCUGCAAUGCAGGAGACUCAGGUUCCAUCCCUGGGUCGGGGAA
rfam:TPA: Bos taurus chromosome 18, whole genome shotgun sequence.